rnacentral:rRNA from 1 species
AUAAUGGGUCAGCGACUUAUAUUCUGUAGCAAGGUUAACCGAAUAGGGGAGCCGAAGGGAAACCGAGUCUUAACUGGGCGUUAAGUUGCAGGGUAUAGACCCGAAACCCGGUGAUCUAGCCAUGGGCAGGUUGAAGGUUGGGUAACACUAACUGGAGGACCGAACCGACUAAUGUUGAAAAAUUAGCGGAUGACUUGUGGCUGGGGGUGAAAGGCCAAUCAAACCGGGAGAUAGCUGGUUCUCCCCGAAAGCUAUUUAGGUAGCGCCUCGUGAAUUCAUCUCCGGGGGUAGAGCACUGUUUCGGCAAGGGGGUCAUCCCGACUUACCAACCCGAUGCAAACUGCGAAUACCGGAGAAUGUUAUCACGGGAGACACACGGCGGGUGCUAACGUCCGUCGUGAAGAGGGAAACAACCCAGACCGCCAGCUAAGGUCCCAAAGUCAUGGUUAAGUGGGAAACGAUGUGGGAAGGCCCAGACAGCCAGGAUGUUGGCUUAGAAGCAGCCAUCAUUUAAAGAAAGCGUAAUAGCUCACUGGUCGAGUCGGCCUGCGCGGAAGAUGUAACGGGGCUAAACCAUGCACCGAAGCUGCGGCAGCGACACUAUGUGUUGUUGGGUAGGGGAGCGUUCUGUAAGCCUGUGAAGGUGUACUGUGAGGUAUGCUGGAGGUAUCAGAAGUGCGAAUGCUGACAUAAGUAACGAUAAAGCGGGUGAAAAGCCCGCUCGCCGGAAGACCAAGGGUUCCUGUCCAACGUUAAUCGGG